rnacentral:rRNA from 1 species
UACGUAGGGGGCAAGCGUUGUCCGGAUUUAUUGGGCGUAAAGAGCGUGUAGGCGGUUUGGUAGGUCCGCUGUGAAAACUCGAGCUCAACCUCGAGACGCCGGUGGAAACCAUCAGACUAGAGUCCGGAAGAGGAGAGUGGAAUUCCUGGUGUAGCGGUGAAAUGCGCAGAUAUCAGGAGGAACCCCAGAGGCGAAGGCGGCCCCCUGGCUCGUACCUGACGCUCAGCCACGAAAGCAUGGGGAGCGAACGGG